UUAUUCAUUAAGUUUUGUAUAUAUGUCCGUCUGUCAUUCAUUUCGGAUGUGAUUUACUAGUAGAUAAAAAAAGAAACAUACAUACAAGGCCAAAUCAUUAUAAUAAAUACUAGAACACACCCGCGAAAUCGCGGGCAUUCAGAGCGUAGUUUAAAGUGUUGUUGGAAGAAUUUUGUAAAAUACAGAAUGACUGGAGAAUUUCAGCAAAAGUAUCAUAAGUCAUAGGUUAUUGGGGACAGGAAAAUGUUUUUUUUUUACCCUCCACCUUUAUUUCCAAAGUUCCCAAUUUUUGGUUUUCUAUCAAUUUCAAUAUGAACAUACAUUUAGUAUGUUAUGAACAUUUAUUUAAGUAAGGAGCCUGUAAUUCAGUGGUUGUCGUUUGUUUAUGUGUUACAUAUUUGUUUUUCGUUCAUUUUUUGUACAUAAAUAAGGCCGCUAGUUUUCUCGUUUGCAUUGAUUUACAUUGUCAUUUCGGGCCUUUUGAAGCUGAGUAUGCGGUAUGGGCUUUGCUCUUUGUUGAAGGCCGUACGGUGACCUAUAGUUGUUAAUAUCUGUGUCAUUUUGGUCUCUUGUGGAGAGUUGUCUUAACAUGGCAAUCAUACCACAUCUUCUUUUUUUUAUGUAAUCAAUGAAUUUUGUAAAAGAUUUAAUGACUGGAGAAUUUCAGAAAAAGUCUCAAAAGUUCACAUGAAUAAUUUUAGCGCUUAUCUGUAUAUUAUGAACAUUCAUUACUAUAUAAAUAAAGGGUAUUUACUUUCAAUUCUAAGUUUACUAAUCGAUCCAUGGUGAUCAAUGAUAUAGUAUACAGACCCUCUCUAUUUAAUAAACUCUGUGACCGCCGUGGAUAGUAAACUUGAAAAUGAUAGCAGAUAAAAUUCUGAAAAUACACUUUAUUCGUAGUUUAUGUAUGUUCAAAGUAUACAGAAAAACGCAAACCGGAAGUCUAAUCUGACUUAAAAUUUCGUACAAUGACGGGACAAUAUCCGGAUGCCUUUUUUCUCGUUUUUCUCCUAAAAUAACUCAAUC
rnacentral:lncRNA from 1 species